AAUCUCUUCAGAGAUGAUGUCGUGAUCCGCCAGCCCAUACAGCAGUGGGAAGGGAUCAUGGAUUGCCAUGGCAAUCUCAGUCCUACAGGCUCGUAGCUGUGAGCGCAGACAGAUGUCAUGCUCAUAAAUGUCCUUACAGAGUGAAUAAAGAGCCAACUACACUGCUCUACACAACCCUACGGCAACAACUUUGACAGAUUCAAUCCCCUCACACUAUCAGCAGCAACUUCCUGUUCUUACAUACAACCUUCCGCUUGCACUCGACUGUUCUGCAAUUCUUCUCAACCAACUGUGAAUUGGCUAGAUGGUGUGAAUACAACAAUGUCAUCACAGAUCAA